rnacentral:rRNA from 1 species
GACGAACGCUGGCGGCGUGCUUAACACAUGCAAGUCGAACGCGCCUGUCCUCUGGGUUUCUGGGGGGUGGGUGAGUGGCGAACGGGUGAGUAACACGUGAGUAACCUGCCCCCUUCUUCGGGAUAACGGUCUGAAAGGGCUGCUAAUACCGGGUAUUCACUGGUCUCCGCAUGGGGUCUGGUGGAAAGGUUUUUUUCUGGUGGGGGAUGGGGUCGCGGCCUAUCAGCUUGUUGGUGGGGUGAUGGCCCACCAAGGCUUUGACGGGUAGCCGGCCUGAGAGGGUGACCGGUAACAUUGGGACUGAGAUACGGCCCAGACUCGUACGGGGGGCAGCAGUGGGGAAUAUUGCACAAUGGGCGCAAGCCUGAUGCAGCGACGCCGCGUGAGGGAUGGAGGCCUUCGGGUUGUGAACCUCUUUCGCCCGUGGUCAAGCCGCGACGUGGGUCGUGGUGAGGGUAGUGGGUAAAGAAGCGCCGGCUAACUACGUG